AUACAGGGGGUGCGAGCGUUAAUCGGAAUUACUGGGCGUAAAGAGUACGUAGGCGGUUGCUUAAGUCAGAUGUGAAAGCCCCGGGCUCAACCUGGGAACUGCAUUUGAAACUGAGUGACUAGAGUUUAAGAGAGGGGAGUAGAAUUCCGGGUGUAGCGGUGAAAUGCGUAGAGAUCCGGAGGAAUACCAGUGGCGAAGGCGGCUCCCUGGCUUAAAACUGACGCUGAGGUGCGAAAGCGUGGGUAGCAAACGGGAUUAGAAACCCCGGUAGUCC
rnacentral:rRNA from 1 species